AAUGUCCUACGGGGGGCAGCAGUGAGGAAUAUUGGUCAAUGGGCGCGAGCCUGAACCAGCCAAGUAGCGUGAAGGAUGACUGCCCUACGGGUUGUAAACUUCUUUUAUAAAGGAAUAAAGUGAGGCACGUGUGCCUUUUUGUAUGUACUUUAUGAAUAAGGAUCGGCUAACUCCGUGCCAGCAGCCGCGGUAAUACGGAGGAUCCGAGCGUUAUCCGGAAUGAUUGGGCGUAAAGGGUGCGUAGGCGGCCUGCUAAGUCUGGAGUGAAAGGUACCGGCUCAACCGGUACAGGCUCUGGAAACUGG
rnacentral:rRNA from 1 species